CCUACGGGGGGCAGCAGUGGGGAAUAUUGCACAAUGGGCGCAAGCCUGAUGCAGCGACGCCGCGUGAGGGAUGGAGGCCUUCGGGUUGUAAACCUCUUUCGCCAGUGAAGCAGGCCUGUCCCUGUGUGGGUGGGUUGACGGUAGCUGGAUAAGAAGCGCCGGCUAACUACGUGCCAGCAGCCGCGGUAAUACGUAGGGCGCGAGCGUUGUCCGGAAUUAUUGGGCGUAAAGAGCUCGUAGGCGGCUGGUCGCGUCUGUCGUGAAAUCCUCUGGCUUAACUGGGGGCUUGCGGUGGGUACGGGCCGGCUUGAGUGCGGUAGGGGAGACUGGAACUCCUGGUGUAGCGGUGGAAUGCGCAGAUAUCAGGAAGAACACCGGUGGCGAAGGCGGGUCUCUGGGCCGUUACUGACGCUGAGGAGCGAAAGCGUGGGGAGCGAACAGGAUUAGAUACCCGUGUAGUC
rnacentral:rRNA from 1 species